AAAGUCGUAACAAGGUUUCCGUAGGUGAACCUGCGGAAGGAUCAUUAGUGAUUGACCUCCGGGUCUUAAUAACUAUAAUCUUCUACCUCUGUGAACCGUUGGUCUUCGGACCGAUUCUUAUAACAAACAUCUGUGUAAUGAACGUAACCUAUAUUAAUCAUAUAAAACUUUUAACAACGGAUCUCUUGGCUCUC
rnacentral:misc_RNA from 1 species